ensembl:misc_RNA Metazoa_SRP Metazoan signal recognition particle RNA
GCCAGGUGUGGUGGCUCACGCCUGUAAUCCCAGCACUUUGGGAGGCUGAGGUGGGCGGAUCACCUGAGGUCAGGAGUUCCAGACCAGCCUGACCAACAUGGAGAAACCCCAUCUCUA